AAUAAGGUCUUAUUCAAGACUACCAACAUUUAAUUUAAUUUAGUGU
rfam:Acyrthosiphon pisum strain LSR1 Contig28861, whole genome shotgun sequence.